CAGCCGUAAACUAUGCGCGUUAGGUGUAUCGGUGACCACGAGUUACCGAGGUGCCGAAGGGAAACCGUGAAACGUGCCGCCUGGGAAGUACGGUCGCAAGGCUGAAACUUAAAGGAAUUGGCGGGGGAGCACCACAACAGGUGGAGCCUGCGGUUUAAUUGGACUCAACGCCGGGAAGCUCACCGGAUAGGACAGCAGAAUGAUUGCCGGGCUGAAGACCCUGCAUGACUAGCUGAGAAGAGGUGCAUGGCGUCAGUGACU
rnacentral:rRNA from 1 species